rnacentral:rRNA from 1 species
UACAGAGGUCUCAAGCGUUGUUCGGAUUUAUUGGGCGUAAAGCGUGCGUAGGCGGCGGGGUAAGUGAGGUGUGAAAUCCCGGGGCUCAACCCCGGAACUGCACUGGAUACUGCCAUGCUUGAGUACUGGAGAGGAGAUUGGAAUUUACGGUGUAGCAGUGAAAUGCGUAGAUAUCGUAAGGAAGACCAGUGGCGAAGGCGAAUCUCUGGACAGUUACUGACACUGAGGCACGAAGGCCAGGGGAGCAAACGGG